CCCCUCCUUCGUGAUUCACCUCACUCACUCAGAAUAGCACGUUCAAAACCCUAGCUUCUUCAACGGUUCUGCCGCCGCCGUCCGUGGUUGUCGGCGCCUCCACUCCUUCCUCCUUCCCCCUCUACCGAACUCAUCCUCUUCUAGCUCGGCACGUCGUCCCCGUCUCCCGUGGCUUCUCUGUUUGAGGAUUCAAGCUACUCGCCGUCGUGUGGUUCGUCGUCUGUGGUUCGUUUCGCCGCUCGCCGUUGUCUCUUUGUCGUCCUGCUCUCCGUCAAAGACGUGAUAAUUUUCAAUCUUGCCAGCAUGAGCGAAAGGAUUCCUAGUUGCUUCGAGAGCACCUCGGCUUCUUGGUUAGUUAGCCUUGUUGAGAAGUCAUGGACUACAUACUUGUAGAUGUAUAGCAUCUCUGCUGAUUCUGAUAUUGAUUGCAAUGAUGAUUCAAACUAAUUGUGGUGAUCAUUGAAAGUUGCUGGCAUGGUGGACUUCCCAUGUGGACUAUGUAUAUUUUUUUGGAUUGGACUAUGUUAUUUCUGCUAUGGUGUGUUUGGCAUAGAAAAUCAACAGAAGAGUCUGAAGAAACUUAAAUUUCAACAUCUUCAUUUUGUAGCUGUGUUCUUACCAACCGAAUCUUUGGCUUGUGUCUUGUUUUUUUUUGGAUAUGUGAGAAUGUUAAGGUAUUUAUUGUUGUUGAUUUAGAUUCUUUUACGUAAUAAUUGGAGGUUACACAAAAAGGGUUGUUCUCAAAACAACUGAAAAAUAUGGACUAAGUUAUAGAAAAUAAUUAGGCAAUGUUGUUAAAUUAAAUUAAUAAUUAUUUGUGUU